GUCUAUGGCCAAGCCACCCUGAACGUGCCCGAUCCCGUCUGAUCUCGGAAGCUAAGUAGGGUCAGACCUGCUUAGUACUUGGAUGGGAGACCACCUAGGAAGACUAGGUGCUGUAGGCG
rnacentral:rRNA from 1 species